GCGUCGGUGGUUCAGUGGUAGAAUACUCGCCUGCCACGCGGGUGGCCCGGGCUCGAUUCCCGGCCGACGCA
rnacentral:tRNA from 1 species